AUUCGAGAUUAAAAAAUCACAAUGCAACUCCUCAGCUAUUAUUUGUUUCUUCAUAUAUAUUUAAUCACGACAAUGUGCCUACUUUUAAUUGCCGCAAGACUUGCCUGCGGUUCUGACGGGUAUUGUGUGGAUAAGAAUGGGUUUUGUAAAGGUGUGAAGCUUCCCUCAGCCGACUGCAGAGGCUCGACCCCAACUAUCUGUUGCCAAAGAAAUGCUGUUGGUUAAAUGUGCCGCAUUAAAUAUGUAACCGUACUUAAAACCCAAAAUUGCGCUAAGCCUAAAACACACUAGCAAUAAAAUGAUAAUAAACUAAUAUUCAUAUUA